rnacentral:rRNA from 1 species
UACAGAGGUCCCAAGCGUUGUUCGGAUUCAUUGGGCGUAAAGGGUGCGUAGGCGGCGCGGUAAGUCGGGUGUGAAAUCUCGGGGCUUAACUCCGAAACUGCAUUCGAUACUGCCGUGCUUGAGGACUGGAGAGGAGACUGGAAUUCACGGUGUAGCAGUGAAAUGCGUAGAUAUCGUGAGGAAGACCAGUGGCGAAGGCGGAUCUCUGGACAGUUCCUGACGCUGAGGCGACGAAGGCCAGGGGAGCAAACGGG